UACGGGGGGAGCAAGCGUUGUUCGGAUUUACUGGGCGUAAAGGGCGCGUAGGCGGCACCGCAAGUCAAUUGUGAAAUCUCCGGGCUCAACCCGGAAAGGUCAACUGAUACUGCGGGGCUAGAGUGCAGAAGGGGCAACUGGAAUUCUCGGUGUAGCGGUGAAAUGCGUAGAUAUCGAGAGGAACACCUGCGGCGAAGGCGGGUUGCUGGGCUGACACUGACGCUGACAGCGCGAAAGCGAGGGGAGCGAACGGG
rnacentral:rRNA from 1 species